AUUGAACGCUGGCGGCAUGCCUAACACAUGCAAGUCGAACGGUAACAGGAAGCAUCUUGCUGCUUCGCUGACUAGUGGCGGGCGGGUUAUUAAUGGCUUAGAAGCUGCCUUAUGGAUGGGGAUAACUACUAGAGACGGUCUCUAAUACCGCAUAAUGUCGCAUGACCAAAGAGGGGGACCUUCUGGCCUCUUGCCAUCGGAUUUGCCCAGAUGGGGGUAGCUUGUUGGUGGGGUAACGGCUCACCAAGACGACGAUCCCUAGCUGGUCUGAGAGGAUGACCAGCCACACUGGAACGGAGACAGGGUCGAGCCUCCUACGGGAGGCAGCAGUGGGGAAUAGUGCACGAUGGGCGCAAGCAUGAUGCAGCCAUGCAGCGUGUAUGAAGAAGGCCUUCGGGUUGUAAAGUACUUUCAGCGGGGAGGAAGGGAGUAAAGUUAAUACCUGUGCUCAUUGACGUUACCCGGAGAAGAAGCACCGGCUAACUACGUG
rnacentral:rRNA from 1 species